AUAUAUUUAGUUUAUUAAAACAUUAGUUUGUGGAACUAAAAUUUCUAAGAUAAAUU
rnacentral:tRNA from 1 species